AGCAGCGUGGCUCAGUGGAAAGGGCCUGGGCUUCGGAGUCAGCGGUCAUGGGUUCGACUCUCGGCUCUGCUA
rfam:Ornithorhynchus anatinus chromosome 12, whole genome shotgun sequence.